ACCUCCACAUUUCUUCACCCAUCACCUCCGCCGAAUGUCAUUAACCCUCCAUUCUCUACCUCAUCUAUGUCGUGCACGGCCGUCAGCGCAUUGCCUUCAUUCCCUCUGUAAUUUGCCUAACCUCUACCAAGCACCCUCACCAACCAUCGUCCCUUCUUCCACCUCCACAUUGCAAGUCCCUUCUUCCCUCACCAACCACUGUCUAGUGUCAAGUUUUCGGUCUCCUUUAAGUUGCGCUUCCACCCCAUCACAUCUUCCUCUUCCAAGUCAGGCUCCGUUCUUCCAACACAAGACACCCGCCUUUGGUCUUUUUCCGCCCUCAUUUUCUUCCACCAUGUUACCUAUGCAUCGGUUUGCCACACCGUCGACCACUCUUCUGGUCUCCAUCGCUCCUUUCCACCUCUGCUUUCGCCUUCACUACACUCGGCUUCUGCUCGAGUCGCAGAGAGAUCACCCUUUUAGUUGAUUAGCUUCUUUCCCCUUCAACGACUACACUUUUCCUUACUGUCACAACUCGAAAGGGUGAUGGAAAACAUACAAGAACAGGGGGAGCAACUGACAUAACUGCUUGCUCAACAGAAACAAACUGUGGAUGCUCCCCAUUAUCUUCUAGUUCAAGUGGCGCAAUGUCUUCUCCUUCUCAAGCUAGGUUUGUCGUGGGCUCUCUCUUUAUUUGUCUAUCAACCUAAGGAGUACUAGAGUCUCUUCCUUUCUUUAUGUUAUUUUGUUUUACACAUUAAGUAGAAAGUGUAGCUUAAGUGCAGGGAGGGAGUGAAUACGUACACUUUUAUUAUAUUGUUUUUCUUUGAGUUUUAUUUUAUUUUAUUUUAUUUGGUAGAAGUUAUUGUGUAUAUUUGUAAAUAGUCUAAAAAAAUUUUAAAAAAAGUUUUUGAAAGUUUCUAAAUCUCAAAAAUU